rnacentral:lncRNA from 1 species
UAUUGAGUCACUAAGCAGUUAUCUUAGUUACGCCCAAAACAUAUUGAUUCCAACAGCAAUGAAAGAAAAACAAACUCAAAAAACCUAUGACAACAGAUUCUGGUACUAUGGGUUAAAUAAAAAUUAAGGAACUUAAGGACAGUCAGGGGAAGCUUAAUGUCCUGGAAGUGCCAGAAAUACCUCUCAAGCCGCUGUCUGACAAUCUCAGAUUCUCGAUGAAGCUACUCAUUUCUGAGAACAUUCCAAAACCAAACUCCAUAGUUCAUUGAUGCUGUAGUGAAACGUAAGUGCAAUUCAGCUUAGUUAGUUUUCUUUUCGUCUUCUUUAAGUGCUAAAGUUUCUGAACUACUAGAAGCUUGAUCCGUAUCCUCCCCAGCAAAACCAAACUCAUUCACUCGUUUCUUAUCCACUGGAUAAACCCAUCUCUGAUAUAGGUAUAUUAAAAAUAUAAGAUCUGCAUGGCAAAGACAGAUGAAACAUUAGAAAACGAAAGCGAAAUUCAGCUUAGUUAGUUUUCUUUUCGUCUUCUUUCAGUGCUAAAGUUUCUGAACUACUAGAAGUUUGAUCCGUAUCCUCCCCAGCGAAACCAAACUCAUUGACUCGUUUCUUAUCCACUGGAUAAACCCAUCUCUGAUAUAGGUAUAUUAAAAAUAUAAGAUCUGCAUGGCAAAGACAGAUGAAACAUUAGUAACCCAAUUGGAUGAAAGCUAAUGCAUAUAAUAGAACCACAC